CCCGUUGUUAAUUAGAUAUGCUCCCUUCCUCUUGAGUUUCACCUCUUCAGUUCCGCUGCUUGUGUGUAUAAUAUGUACUGAAAUUUUUUCCGCAGCUAAUUAUCAGAGUCUCAAACCCAAUUAGAAAGGAUAGGGGUUGGAUGCUAUACUAUUGAUUGUACUAGAAUGCUGCUGCUUUGUUUGCAUCUGAUAGGUAAAAAGAAUAUAAGUUCAUAGAGGAAAAAAAGGGUGAGGAUAAGAAAAUUGAAUAUGGAGAUGUGGCUUUGGGGUUUGAUUUAAUAGGGGGAAGAGCUAAACUUUGCCUAAAAGAUACAUAGAGCGACAAGAAGUCUUAGUGGUAAGGAGAUGAUGAUCUUCUGCGUAGACAAAUUUGAUCUCAAGGAUUUGGAUGUUCAGUUGGAGAAGCACUUGAACAGGUUCCUUCAAUCAACUUAAAAACCAUAUUUGCCUCUACCCAAAGAAGAUUGGGAGCUUGAUCUAUGUAACCAGGGAAUAAAAUACUAUAAAGCUCUGGUACUGUAUAUAGGGUAACUUGUGAGGAAGCAGACGUUGCAGUGAAGCUGCUGGAUUGGGGAGAGGACGGGAAUGCAAAUAGUGCAGAAACUGCAGCUGUGAUGUCAUCAUAUUUAGUGAAGGAUCAAUUACACUUAACAUACGGUGGAGCAAAACUGUCUUCUACCAAUGGCUGUUGCAAGUCGUGAUGGAGUUACAAGAUUGGAACAGGAUCAAGCUGCGGUUGUUUUCAGGAUCUGACUGUUCAACAUUACAGUAAUAUUUCUAUUAUGUUACCUCUUUUUUUAUGUACUUCAUUAGGUUGAUUUACACAAGAAGGCUUCGGCUGCUGUUGCUGCUGCUGCUGCUUUAGGAAGGUUUAAGGAUGAGAUAGUACAUGUACACACCAAGAUCGUGGACAUAAAAAAUGGGGAUGAAAAACCUGUUACAAUCUCUGUGGAUGAUGUGAUUCGGGCAAACAUAGAUGUGGCAGAUCUUGGGAACUAAAGCCCUCAUUUAAGAAAGACGGGACGACGACUGCUGGUAACUAGGGGAGAGCAUUUGGUUUGAUUAACCGAUAACCGAACUGAAUAACCGAAGAAAUGAAACAACUAGAUGAAGCACUAGAGAAAAUGAACAUGGAUGCAAGUUCUGCAGCAGCUUCAGCGACUGGAACAAGUCAUCCACCUGUCAAGCCUGCCCAAAUCUAUGCCUGUACAGUGGCCAUGGCUUCCUUGCGGAGUGCUGCAGCUAUAUCCUGCGUCCAAGCCUCCUAAUUCUCUCAAUUCAGAUGGCCGUUUCGUUUAUAUGCGCAGUUAAAGCUUUCGUUGUGUUUAUGUUAUCGAUUUCUGGUGUGAAUUCGGCGGGUUGUCUCCCCUCUCCGCGGGUUCCCUUCGGUCCGAUGACACAACGACCAUGCCCAUUUCGGAAGUAUGUAGAAAGAAGUAUUCCAGUCCAAGGUGUUUGUCAGAAUGACCCUUUGAACUUAAGCGACCAAGCUACUAGAAAUAUUGGGCGGCCUAAGGUUACCAUCAGCGAGGAUGUUUUGGAAAGGAGAAGGCUAUCUAAGCGGAGGCAAAAUACUCGGCAAACUGGGCAACAAGGUUUGUAUGCUAAGCUCGCAUAUUCUCCAGUAUAUCUGCAUAUGGCAAGCCCUUGGUUACGGAAAGAAACUGGAGUACUUAUUUGCUAAUACAAACGGUGAACAGAAACAGGCAAGGAAGAUGAAUAUGUUAACAGACCUUCAAAAUAUUGGGAUAUUUGUGGAGACAGGUUUGAUCCCGGUGGACAUAUUGGAUCAUUUUACCAGCUAUCGCUUGCUGAAUCAGAAUUUGAAGUCAUGAUACAGGAAGGAGAGGAGGAUGACAUCUAACUUGAUUGAAGAUUAGGUUGCUCUGUCUCGUUGCUUUCAUGUUCUAUCUUUUCGCUUUCAUAAUUGUGCAUACAAUUCCUAUGAUAGAAGCCAAUUGAGCAUCAGCUGAACCUUUAGCGACCCACAAUAGUAUCAUAGAUCAAACAAAGUGAUGAAUAAGAGGCUGGAUAUGUAUGACUGCAGAAUCCAGUUACUUGCCCGAAUUUGAUCCCGUACCUAUCCCUGGGCCACCUGGUUCGUUUUUGCGGAGUCUGGAGGUGAUAUUUGUGGUGUUUGAUGCGAGUGAUCAUCGGUUUUAGUUUGCAUCUGAGAGUGUCUUCCGCUUGACGCUGGUAUCAUUAUAGAGGUUGUCAAUCUGGAAAUGGUUUUGGUUAACCAUGUUGAUGGUACAUUUCUUGAAAAAAAUUGAGAAAUCAGAGUUCUGCAGGAUCAGGAUCCGGAGCAGGUCCGGAUAGUGGUGGGCUGUUUGUAGGGUUAUUAAUGGUCCUUCUUAACAGGAUUGAUGUUGUUGGCGGCCUCAGGGGCUAAGCUAGAUCCCUUUCUGGUCCGGUCGAUGAUCCCAUCAAGCUCCCAAAAUGGAAUUUGAUGGAUCAAGUACUGGUCAGGCACCAGGGGAUGAUAGUGAAGUGAUGGUAAAGAGUUUGAUGAAGGUAAAAUAAGUUGUUUCAAGGGUUUAGCUGGUCAUAAUAGACGUAGAAGGAAGACGCAUCCUGAAAAUGCAGCUAAUGCAGUCAACUCGAAUGAGGAGCAGUAUUUAUAAGUCUGCUUAGAAUUCUGUCCAAUGCACACUGAGCAGAAUUGGACACAUUUCUUAAAUAGUUAGCACACUGUUGAAUUUCAACUUGAUAGCACACUGAAGAUGAACAUACAUUCUUGGCCAAUUUGAUUUGGAGAUUCUUUGUCGCGCAGGUAGUUAUGAUUUGAUUCCAGCCUACAGAAUAUGCAUGUAUUUUUUAGUGUUGUCAUUUUCUUCUACAAUAAUACACCUACUUUAAAAUUUUAUGAUAACUUGAUAACAUGUGCUGAGCAAUUUUGUUUUGGGAGAUAUAUGUAAUGCAGGUUCAAGGGCCAUAAGACAAGGAAUUACAUAAAUUAUUAGCGGGUCGAGGUAAUCCAGAGUAAUCAUGUGACUGGUUUAUACUAAUCUUGCUAAAAUACAAUCAUUUAUUACCCUUAUCUUAUCUUUUCUUUUUUAUUAGCUCACAUGCCCAAUCAAUCAUAAGGGAGCAAUGAAUGUGUAGCUAAAUUAUAUGAUUGUUAAUAAACUGCAUUUUUGCUACACUGUAAUAAUUUAUACAUCGAUUAGCUUAAGUGAACUCGAGAUUUCUGUGAAAAGUAAUUUAUACAAGGUACUCCCUCCGUUUUUCCCAUAGGUCAUUUCACUUUUUGAUAAUUUUCCCACUACCUAAUUAAUAUUAUUAUUUUUAAUUUUUUUGGUAAAUAAAAGCAUAAUUUUAAAUUUUAAAUGAGUUGACUACUUAAUAUUUUGUAGAUUUUGAGCUUGUGACUCUCCACCCCCAUUUCAGCUAAAGAGACAUUAGCGCCGGUGGUAAUACAAGGUUUUUUCCCUGGGGGUGCUUAGAGGAAACAGAAACACCUGGUUGAAAAAUUACCUCUUCCAGAUACACAUAAACAAAUUUAUUAUGUCAAUGGACAGAGGAGCGCCAAUGCGACAGCCUUCAUUGCAGAAGAAACUGGACGAGAAUUUUACUUUUUUAACCAGAAUUACUUUGGUAAAGUACAACCACUUAUCUUUCUCAUUCAAAUAAAGACUAGGAAUGCAUAAAAUUGUCCUCAUUCAGGUCUACACAGCUCUGUCUAGCAGCAACUGAUUUGAACAAAAAGAAGGCAGUGACGCUGAAAGUAAUGGAUAGGGCGACUACACGCAAUUGGAGUCUUCUAAAAAGCUCUCCUGAACUUGGUAAGUUGCUGGACAAACUUGCAUUCUGCGGAAAAAGCACACAUAUCUUGCAUAUGCAUAUAAAGUUGCCAAACUAGGUCAGCAUUGUGCCCGGUGUUUCGAUUCCAGUUCAUAUGCCCCCGAACGAUAAAUAUUUUGUCCUAUUUAAACUGACAACUUUCACUACAUAAAUGCGGAUGAGUGUCCAGCACACUUUUGAACACAAAAUAAGAGUGGAAGACGACAUCAUUUUUGUCAAAACUGGUAUAAAUUUCAACCAACAAAUACGUUAAUCUUCUUGGGGCAGCAAUCGUUACAAUGCGAGAUCAUUAAAUACUUUCUAGAUAUGAUAGGGCUUAUUCACCUCUAACCAUGGAAUAUGUAGACUUGCAAGUUUAUCCAAAGUAAUUUCAAACA